rnacentral:rRNA from 1 species
GACGAACGCUGGCGGCGUGCUUAACACAUGCAAGUCGAACGGUGAAGCCCUUCGGGGUGGAUCAGUGGCGAACGGGUGAGUAACACGUGGGCAAUCUGCCCUGCACUCUGGGACAAGCCUUGGAAACGAGGUCUAAUACCGGAUAUUACCCCUGGGGGCAUCCCUGGGGGUGGAAAGCUCCGGCGGUGCAGGAUGAGCCCGCGGCCUAUCAGCUUGUUGGUGGGGUGAUGGCCUACCAAGGCGACGACGGGUAGCCGGCCUGAGAGGGCGACCGGCCACACUGGGACUGAGACACGGCCCAGACUCCUACGGGAGGCAGCAGUGGGGAAUAUUGCACAAUGGGCGAAAGCCUGAUGCAGCGACGCCGCGUGAGGGAUGAAGGCCUUCGGGUUGUAAACCUCUUUCAGCAGGGAAGAAGCGCAAGUGACGGUACCUGCAGAAGAAGCACCGGCUAACUACGUGC